GACGAGCCUCACGAACGUUAUUCGGAAUUACUGGGCGUAAAGCGCGCGCAGGCGGCUCUUUAAGUCCGUAGGUGAAAGACCGGGGCUCAACCCCGUGUCAGCCAUGGAUACUGGAGGGCUGGAGACAGGUAGAGGCAAGCGGAAUUCCGGGUGUAGCGGUGGAAUGCGUAGAGAUCCGGAAGAACACCGGAGGCGAAGGCGGCUUGCUGGACCUGGUCUGACGCUGAGGCGCGAAAGCGUGGGGAGCGAACAGG
rnacentral:rRNA from 1 species